rnacentral:rRNA from 1 species
UACGGAGGGGGCAAGCGUUGUUCGGAAUUACUGGGCGUAAAGGGUGCGCAGGCCGCGCGGGCAGUCAAUUGUGUAAUUCAGGGGCUCAACCCCUGGACUGCGCUUGAUACUUCCGUGCUAGAGCUUUGGAGAGGAGUCUGGAAUUCUCGGUGUAGCAGUGAAAUGCGUGGAUAUCGAGAAGAACACUUAGGGCGAAGGCAAGACUCUGGACAAAUGCUGACGCUCAUGCACGAAGGCUAGGGUAGCGAACGGG